rnacentral:rRNA from 1 species
GACGAACGCUGGCGGCGUGCUUAACACAUGCAAGUCGAACGGAAAGGCGCUGCUUUUGUGGGGUGGUCGGGUGGCGAACGGGUGAGGAACACGUGAGGAACCUGCCCUUGACUUUGCGAUAGCUUCACGGAACGAAGGCGAGGACAAUAUAGGAGCUCCUGCUGCAGUGGGGUGGUUGGAAAGGUUCAGCGGUUGGUGAUGUACGCGCGGCUUAUCAGCUUGUUGGUGGGGUAGGUGCGGAGCCAGGCUUUGACGGGUAGCCGGCCUGAGUGGGUGAGCGGCCACAUUGGGACUGAGAUACGGCCCAGAAUCCUAGGGGAGGCAGCAGUGGGGAAUAUUGCACAAUGGGCGGAAGCCUGAUGCAGCAACGCCGCGUGCGGGAUGACGGCCUUCGGGUUGUAAACCGCUUUCGCCUGGGACGAAGCGUGAGUGACGGUAAUGGGUAAAGAAGCACCGGCUAACUACGUG